AGAUACCGCUUUCAGCUUGUCUGAGAAUUCGACGAUUAUUAUGGGCUGAAUGCAUGUUACUUCCAGAGGCGGGCGGAGGUGGGUCAGGGAGGCAGAUAAAAGGGGGCGUGGCCAGAAAUUUGGAGUCCGAAGCCGUCUUUUCCUGUAGCACAAAUGGAAAGAGCACAUUCUUUUAACCGAUUACACAGGGAAGCGGAAGUGUGCUAGGCAGAGGCCCCCAGUGACUGUCUCCCACACCCGGAUGAGCUGGUUCACCUGCUGUCUCUCACACUGCCUUGGGAGCGCCGAGCACGGGACUGAGAACGGGAGGCCUGGCUGUCAGCACCAACUCUGCCACCAACAGAACACGGGGCCAAACAAGUGACUGCACUGCAGACCUGUUUCUUCACCCGUGAAAGAACUGAGACAGUCUGCAUUUGUUGACAACUUACCACGUGCCUGGUCCUGUUCCAGGCGUCAGAACCUCAACUCAUGAAAUGCUCACAGCGGCCUUCUGAGCCUCUCUAGAAGCAUCAUUUGAGUUCAACCUUCAAGAGCAAACAACCGGACCUUAGGAAUUUCAAAGGCAUUUGAUAACCUUUACUGAGAGAUGAGUCAGACUCAAUUCACAAAAUGAAACUUACCCGGGAAAGUCUCACAAACUCUGGCCCCUGAGUGCUCCAGACGCGUGGGGAAAUGGACAGACCAGCCUCGGAUGUGAAGCCUAGCAUUUCGGAAUACUUUCUGUAGUGCCGGGAUUUGCAGUUAGACAAAGGCUUUGUUUACUCCUCCAUCCACCCAUCCAGCCAUCCAUCCCCAGAACCUGGCCAUGAGUACCCACAACACUAAGCUCCAGGAACAUAGAAAUGAAUAAGGGCUUAAAAGCACAGUCUCUGCGAGGGGUAGAGGAUACAGAGUGCCAGAAGAUUGCAUCAGAUUCACGUAUGCUUGUUUUCCACUGGGCAGUCCCUGGGUGUUAAAAGAGAUGAUCUAGCCGACAUGGCUUUCAGGGACUCCUUGCCUUCUGUAAUGUGGAGCCCUGAAGCUGCAAGCAGCCAUCUUGCUACCAUAAAGCUUGCAUGAUGCAUCUUGAAGCCAAAGCGAAGCAAGCUGAGAUGCUGGGGAGCCUGCUGAAAGCAUCAUUUGAAUCUCUCUCUAAGGCGUGUCUGAAGCAAGGACUACCACUUCUUCUUUUGCUGCUUCAGCUAGUGCUUCAAAGGAUUUGGAAUCCCUUUGUUCUGAGUUCAUUUCAACUACUAAUGGUGGGAAAGGAGAACAUUUCCUAAAUUGGAUGAAUUCCUGUUAUCUACAAAUCACAGAUUGGAUCGAAAUGAAACAUAAUUCUAAAGUCAGAUAUUACAGCUGCUUUCGUGUGGAUUUUCCAGAGGAAGGGAUCGUGAACAGACAGAAGUGAGACAAAUACCAGGAUAUUUAUCUUCUUCAACCAGAAGAUAAAAACCCACCACAGAAAACAAGAAUGAUGGGGAGUUGGAGCUUUGAGUGACUGAGCUUAAAUCCUGAAUUUGGUGAUUUCCUGGAAAAGGCUUCUUGAAAUCAGAAGACUCUGAGUGCCUUUGAAGUGGCAGACUACAGCUAGCUUGAGUCCAAGCAUAGAUGAAUAAAGGUACUCUUUUUGUACAUCUGACUUCUGACUGUUGUUGUAAACCCAGUGUGUGAAGAUGGGUAAGAUGUAAUUCCUGCCUGAAGAAGUUUCUAAUCUAGGGUGUUAUAAGGUGAGGCACUGAAGCCAGGAGUUUUCUGCCGUAUAAUUUUGCGGCUGACUGGUCUUGACAUUUUAUGAAUAAAAACAGUUUAUGCUUAUAAAUUGGGCUUAUGGGGGCUAAAGUGAGACUAGAUAAAGACAAGGGCCAGAAGAGGUAAUAUUCUACUGCAGAAAUAUGAUGCCAACUGAGAAAAACAGAGCUGGAUGAAAGCCCAGUAAAGGACAAUCUAAAUAAUCACCAAGUGAGGAAGAUGCUUUCUGAAGAGAUAUACUAAGGUCAUAAACUAGUCAAGAAAUGAAAAUGUUGAGAGGGAACAAACUGAAGGCUUUCCGUUUUUAAAAAAAUAGUAAAAUCAUCAUAAGCUAUCACCCAAUGCCACUCCAAAAAAAUUAAAAAUGAGCUGGAUGACUCUGAGGUCUGAUUCACUGUGGCAAACUUGUUUGACUGCAGUAAAAACGCACAUGACAUCACAACUAACAUGCUACUCGGUAUUUAUAUUUUACGUGCCAGGGAGGUGGCCCAGGGAAGGUCCCAAUGAUGGAGGCUCUGUCUUUAGAACAGACGUCAGGUAAGAAGGGAUUUUUUCCUCCAGAUGACUUUAACACCAGACACUGGGCAAACCCAGAUGCGAUGUCAAAGAAUGCUCACUCCCCAGUGAGAUCCCCAGCACAGAGAUGUUCACACAGAGCGCCCUCAGGAAAGGCUCAAUGACUUGUAGACCUGCGGGUCCACCCAUAAGACAGACAAGACAAGGCUCACAGCUCAGAGAGGAUUUUGGUAAAUGUUUAAGAAGUGCCUUGACUUUGUACCCAAGACUUUGAAGCCAGAAGCAGACAUCUCAGCACAGAGGAGAUUCUGAUUUAUAGCAGCAGUUUGGGGCAUGUAGCCGAAGAGGUGGCUGGGGCCAGCGAGGCCAUUCAAUCACAAUAGAAAGCGCACUGUCAUCAAUUCCUCAGCCAAGAAGAACCAGACACCUGUAUAAAAACACACCGCUGCCUCUAUAGUUACCUUUACAAGUUCUAAAUCAUAGAGAUCUUAUUACAGAGUGUGGGUUUAGUCAUUCUCGACAAAUGCUUUUGAUGUUUCCAUAAAAAUCUAAGUUAAAAAUCCCCCUCUGCAUGGAUCCUGACUGGUUAUUAAAGUCAAGAUUCUGGUGAAGAGUGGCACAGACUUUUUCUUUUAAUAAGUAUGCUAAAUGAGCUAUACUUAUUUGUGCUUCUGCAGCUCCUGUUCCCUAUCAUCUUUCCAAGUCGUACAUUCUCAUGGUGGCUUUGAAUCUCCUGUGUAUCUAGGCUGGGGGGUGUGAUUUCCUCUGUGCACUUCUAAGUCAACAUAUGACACGUAAGUCACCGCUCUUGCCAGUCACGUGCUGGAGUGAUUUGUACUGGCUCAUAAGAGCCAGUUAUUAAAUUUUUGGAAAUUUUUGUAAGGUAGUUGUUAGACACAGCUGUUACUAAAAUUAAAUUAUAUAAACUUACAAUUAAAUAAAUCAUCUAAGACGAAGGUAAGAAACACUUUCUAAUUAUUUUACUGCAUUGUACUAUUUUUUAUGCCUUUGAGGCUAUUUACAUGUGUUGUUCCUGUAGAGUGAAAAUACAAUAUAACAAUGUACUGUUGUGGAUCUGUUCCCAACUCUGCGUCCAGUGACAUGGUGUCAGGAGCCUGAAACUGGCCUUGAUGGGAGUAUUUACACCAAGGAGAUCAGCAAACUACGACAAAUGAGGGCUGGGUUGUUUUGUUGGCUGUCUAGAC
ensembl:lncRNA